rnacentral:rRNA from 1 species
AUGAGCGUGACAAUGUUUGGGUACAUCUCAGAGGAGCGAGGAUUGGCUGCCCAUGGUGUCGGCAAUGAGAGAAGGUUGGGGACGAGGAUUGGAUUUUUACUAAUUAUUUUCCUUCAACAGAUAAUCUGUAUGACAACAUUAGCUAUGGUUAUCCCUCAGAUAGUGGUAUGGGCAGUGAUAUGGACGCCACUUGUUUUUUUUAGCCUUCUUAAGGCAUUUGUUAAAUCUUACCUGUCUAAGGUAUAUUUCAAUUUCGUUAUUACUUUUAUCUUGAACACAAGACCUUUGUAUGUGUUCAUUAGUUAA